rnacentral:rRNA from 1 species
AUUGAACGCUGGCGGCAUGCUUUACACAUGCAAGUCGAACGGCAGCACGGGGGCAGCCCUGGUGGCGAGUGGCGAACGGGUGAGUAAUACAUCGGAACGUGCCCGGUCGUGGGGGAUAACGUAGCGAAAGUUACGCUAAUACCGCAUACGAUCUGAGGAUGAAAGCGGGGGACCUUCGGGCCUCGCGCGAUCGGAUCGGCCGAUGUCAGAUUAGGUAGUUGGUGGGGUAAAGGCCUACCAAGCCGACGAUCCGUAGCUGGUCUGAGAGGACGACCAGCCACACUGGGACUGAGACACGGCCCAGACUCCUACGGGAGGCAGCAGUGGGGAAUUUUGGACAAUGGGCGCAAGCCUGAUCCAGCCAUGCCGCGUGCAGGACGAAGGCCUUCGGGUUGUAAACUGCUUUUGUACGGAACGAAAAGGAUCUGGCUAAUACCUGGGGCUCAUGACGGUACCGGAAGAAUAAGCACCGGCUAACUACGUG